GUCGCUUAGGCACUACAUAUACUAAAAUUGGGACGAUACAGAGCAGAUUAGCAUGUCCGCUUCGCAAGGAUAACACGCAAAUAAGUAUAUUUAAACAUUUUU
rnacentral:snRNA from 1 species